GCUCAGUUGGCUCAGUCAGUAGAGCAUGAGACUCUUAACCUCAGGGUUGUGAGUUUGAGACCCACGUUGGGCA